GCUAUUUUGGCAGAUAAGUGUAUUGGAUUUAGAAUUCAAUUAUGUAAAUUUAAUUUACAGAUAGUA
rnacentral:tRNA from 1 species